AGAAUCAACGCUGGCGGCGUGCCUAACACAUGCAAGUCGAACGAGAAAGUGGAGCAAUCCAUGAGUAAAGUGGCGCACGGGUGAGUAACACGUGACUAACCUACCCUUGAGUGGGGGAUAACCUAGGGAAACCUGGGCUAAUACCGCAUAAUACCUUCGGGUCAAAGGAGCAAUUCGCUUAAGGAGGGGGUCGCGGCCGAUUAGUUAGUUGGCUGGGUAAUGGCCCACCAAGACUAUGAUCGGUAUCCGGCCUGAGAGGGCGCACGGACACACUGGAACUGAAACACGGUCCAGACUCCUACGGGAGGCAGCAGUGGGGAAUUUUGCGCAAUGGGGGAAACCCUGACGCAGCAACGCCGCGUGGAGGAUGAAGUCCCUUGGGACGUAAACUCCUUUCGAUCGGGACGAUAAUGACGGUACCGAGAGAAGAAGCCCCGGCUAACUUCGCGCCAGCAGCCGC
rnacentral:rRNA from 1 species